CUUUAAAAACCGGUUUUCGUUGAGAUCUUAGAUAUAUUCAUCUGAGAUCACUGCGAAAGCUGAUUAUGAAGU
rnacentral:pre_miRNA from 1 species